UACGAAGGGGGCUAGCGUUGUUCGGAUUUACUGGGCGUAAAGCGCACGUAGGCGGGGCGUUAAGUCAGGGGUGAAAUCCCGGAGCUCAACUCCGGAACUGCCUUUGAUACUGGCGACCUUGAGGCUGGAAGAGGUUAGUGGAAUUCCCAGUGUAGAGGUGAAAUUCGUAGAUAUUGGGAAGAACACCAGUGGCGAAGGCGGCUAACCGGUCCAGAUCUGACGCUGAGGUGCGAAAGCGUGGGGAGCAAACAGG
rnacentral:rRNA from 1 species